GGCCUGGUUAGUCGCAAAGA
rnacentral:miRNA from 1 species